UACGAAGGGGCUAGCGUUGCUCGGAAUCGACUGGGCGUAAAGGGUGCGUAGGCGGGUUUUAAGUCAGGGUGAAAUCCUGGAGCUCAACUCCAAGAACUGCCUUUGAUAACUGAAGAUCUUGAGUUCGGGAGAGGUGAGUGGAACUGGCGAGUGUAGAGGUGAAAUUCGUAGAUAUUCGGCAAAGAACACCAGUGGCGAAGGCGGCU
rnacentral:rRNA from 1 species